AACUUUUGGCAACGGAUCUCUUGGUUCUCGCAUCGAUGAAGAACGCAGCGAAUUGCGAUAUGUAAUGUCAAUUGCAGAAUUCAGUGAAUCAUCGAAUCUUUGAACGCACCUUGCGCCUUUUGGUAUUCCGAAGGGCAUGCCUGUUUGAGUGUCAUUAAUAUCUCAACUUCAAAAUUCUUUUUGAAGCCUUGGAUCUUGGAGGCUUAUGCUGGUGAAAUUAACUGGCUCCUCUUAAAUACAUUAGCGGAACUUAAUGAAUCGGCUUUGGCUUGAUAAAUCAAUCUAUGCUAUUGCUGAGGAGUCUGUCUUCUGCUUCUAACCGUCCAAUAGGACUGCUCUUGUGAGCAUGACUUUCAACUUGACCUCAAAUCAGGUAGGACUACCCGCUGAACUUAAGCAUAUCAAUAAGCGGAGGCU
rnacentral:misc_RNA from 1 species